UACGUAGGGUGCAAGCGUUAAUCGGAAUUACUGGGCGUAAAGCGUGCGCAGGCGGUUAUGUAAGACAGAUGUGAAAUCCCCGGGCUCAACCUGGGAACUGCAUUUGUGACUGCAUAGCUAGAGUACGGUAGAGGGGGAUGGAAUUCCGCGUGUAGCAGUGAAAUGCGUAGAUAUGCGGAGGAACACCGAUGGCGAAGGCAAUCCCCUGGACCUGUACUGACGCUCAUGCACUAAAGCGUGGGGAGCAAACAGG
rnacentral:rRNA from 1 species